CACCGGCGGCUCGAGUGGUGGCCACUUUUAUUGGGUCUAAAGCGGACGUAGCCGGCUUGGCAAGUCCCCUGGGAAAUCUGGCGGCUUAACCGUCAGGCGUCCAGAGGAUACUGCCAGGCUUGGGACCGGGAGAGGUGAGAGGUACCUCAGGGGUAGGGGUGAAAUCUUGUGAUCCCUGAGGGACCACCAGUGGCGAAGGCGUCUCACUAGAACGGGUCCGACGGUCAGGGACGAAAGCUGGGGGCACGAACCGG
rnacentral:rRNA from 1 species